GACGAACGCUGGCGGCGUGCUUAACACAUGCAAGUCGAACGGAAAGGCCUUUUCGGAGGUACUCGAGUGGCGAACGGGUGAGUAACACGUGGGUGAUCUGCCCUGCACUCUGGGAUAAGCCUGGGAAACUGGGUCUAAUACCGGAUAGGACCGCACCUUAGUGUGUGUGUUUGAAAGUUUUUUGGGUGUAGGAUGAGCCCGCGGCCUAUCAGCUUGUUGGUGGGGUAAUGGCUUACCAAGGCGGCGACGGGUAGCCGGACUGAGGGGUUGGUCGGCCACAUAGGGACUGAGAGGAGGCCCAGACUCCGACGGGAGGGAGAUGUGGGGAAGUUUGACCAAGGGGCGCAGGCCGGAUGCAGAGAGGCCGCGGGUGGGAUGACUGUCUUCGUAUUGAAAAAUCCUUACGCCAGGGACGAAGCGUUUUGUGACGGUACCUGGAGAAGAAGCCCCGGCUAACUACGUG
rnacentral:rRNA from 1 species